CUCUGGGGUCGCACAGAGUCGGACAUGACUGAAGCGACUUAGCAGCAGUAGCAGCAAAGUAUAGUUUAAUGUAUUUGUUAUUUUUUUCCCCUGAUAAAACUCAUAAAGCAGAAUAUUUUUUUAUUUUACUUAUUUUAUUUUAUUUUUUGGCCUCACUGUGCAGUUUGCAGGAUCUUAGUUCCCUGACCAGGGAUUGAAACUAGGCCCUCAGCAGUGAAAGCAUGGAGUUACAACCACUGGGCUUCCAGGGAAUUCCCAAGAAUAUUUUUUAAAUUGAGUUAACUCUGGAAAGAUAAUUUUCAAGGCCAAAGUACUUCAAAAGCAGAGAUUAUAUAGCAAUUUGAUUUGUUUGUUAACUUUAGUGAUUCUUGUAUUCAUUUAUGUAAUAGCAUAACAUUCCUCUUCCUUUUAACUUCUUAACGCUUGUGUUUACAAGAAAAAAUGUUUGCUUCAAACUGGGAAGGGGUUACUUAAAAUCAGUUUAUAGUUUGAGAUGGUUGAUAGGAAAAUUUCCAGUUACAGUCAAAUGAUAGUAUUGAUGUUGCGCACACUGACAUUCAAUAUGUCUAAACUUAGAGGUAAGUUUAAUCCUUAAAAGGACUAUUAGGUAGAAAAUAAAUAUUUGUAUACACAUGUACUGUGAUAACUUUGGAUUCAUUUUAAGUCUGACAAAGUAAGAUAAGUUUUAUCUUUACAAUUAAAUUAUGCUAAGUGGUGGGAUGUAUCUGAGAGAGAUUUAGACCUAGGCAUCCUUAUCAGUGUAGUAUCUGGAACAUAGCUCCUUAGAAAUGCUUAAUUCUUAUUUCUUAAUCCUUAAUUCUUAUUUCCAUAAGGCUUAGAAGGAACUCUACAAAUUCUAAGUAACUGGCUAUUAUUAAUAAGAGUAAAAAAUCUACUAUACUUCAAUAAAAUAUUUUAAGACAAAAAAUAGGAAGUUGCAUGGUAUAGCCGAGUUGACUCACUAAAAUUUUAUUUACAUAAUUUUUCUAAUAUGAAAAUUACUUGUUUUCAGCCCCCCUUCACAAUUGUAUUUUAAAUUAAGGUUAUUAAUGUUUUAACCUAGAUCAUAUAAUGGUAAAUUAAUUUUUUAAAUUUGAUAUCCGUACUGAACUUGGAAAAACUGAUUUGGUCUUCUCCGAUUUCAAUAAGUAUUGUUGGAUUUCUUUGUUACAUCUUUGUGGUCAAUGGAUCCUGUGGAAAUCUGUGUUCUUUUUUUGUGAGGGAUGGGGUAGAAAAGAGGAGAGUAGUCUAAUUAUACAUAUGCAGAGAGUAGUCUAAUUAUGCAUUUUGACUAUAUAAAGGUAGUUGUAGAAUUAAUAUGUAUAAAUGACAAAUUAACACUUACCUAUUGUGAAUUGUUCUAAGGAACAGUGGCCUGAAGCCAUGGCUUGUUUUGUGGAGCUGCUUGCUCUUUAAUAGUAGCUGACCAAUUGGAUUUAAGUUGAGACUUUGAGGUUAGGUUACCAAGCUGAGGCUUUUAGGAAUGGAGCAGACCAUGUCUGUUCCUGUAGUGAAUCGAUUUAAUUUCCUCUUUGAAUACUCUAAUUUAGAUAUAUGUAUUGUCCAUUCUAAAUCUUUGUGUUGGGAGUUUUAUAAAAUUGUUUUCAAAAGCUAUUAAGAAUAAACACAAGUGUAUGUAAAACAUUUCACAGAUGGUUAAAAAUUUCAAUUUUUUUGUUUUAGUUUCAAAGGUUAGUUAUGUAGCAUCAAUAUCAUAACCAAAGCAAGUAGGACAUUGACUGGUUUGGAGAAUCUUCAAGUAGUCUUAAAUACUGUAAUGUAUCAGAUUGUUAACCAGGAUUUUUUUCCUGUAUUUCUGCUAAAUGUAUUACUGUAUUAAUGCACUUUUGUAUAUAUAUCUGUCUUCUGUACAUUCUGUACUUACUUCAGUGUAUAUAAAAGCUGUUUUUCCUGAAGCUGUGAGGGAAAAACAAUAGCUGUAACACAAGUCACUUCUAUUUUGAGUUUCCUCUUGUACUUGAAAGUAGUCAUUCAGUAGUUAAAUCUAUAUAGUAUGUACGGUUGUAAUUAAAAUGGUAAUGUGGCAGAGCUGUCUUUUAAAACUGAUUAUAAGAAUGAAAAGUGUUUUAGUUAUAAAAAAAUUGUAAUAUUUUAAAUUGUCUCUUUUGAUGUACCAUGGAUUUUUACAAACCCACUGCUGCUUACUACUUUAUACUUCUGAAUCUACUCCUUUUCAUGUCCCAUCCUAGAACAUUUAUCAACAGAAAAAUUUCUCUCUUUUCUUUUGCUCAGUUUGGUUAAGGCUCCGUAGCUUUUGUUUUGUGUAAGUCCCAAUUCCCCAGAUGUCACUGGCAAAUCUCUUUUCUCCUGGAAAGAUCAGAUUUCUAGAGACAUUAGAAUUCAUAGUAAGUGAAAAUUAGGUCUAACGUUGUUUACAAAAACCAGAUCUAUUUUCCUUCUAGAGUUUUCUUAAGUUAUAUAAAAGUAAUGUCUGUGAGCAGUUUUAUGUAUUGGUACAGAAGCAGUUCAGCUUUUCAGCAGCAACUUUAUCUCUUGCCACUAGAGGGAGAUCUGUGGUUGCUCUCUCCUUUGGAAAAUGUCUUGGCUGCUUUUCAUUUGUUUUUAACUUCAGAGGUUGGAAUUGACCUCGUGCUCAAAAUUCCUUUUGUGAUAUUAAAUGCUUUGAUUUGUUAGUCAAAGGUAAGUUAAUUAAGCUUGUUUAAUAAAGCCAAUAUUAUUCAUGCUUUUCUGUAAUUUCAAUUUUUAAUAAAUGUGAGUCAGAU
rnacentral:lncRNA from 1 species